rnacentral:rRNA from 1 species
GACGAACGCUGGCGGCGUGCCUAAUACAUGCAAGUCGAACGCAGUGGGGCCGGGUGAGUAACACGUGGGUAACCUCCCCUCAGAGGAGAUAACACAUGGCAACAGGUGCUAAACCGAUACUGAUGGAUGGACCGGGGGUGCAUUAGCUAGUUGGGGAGGUAACGGCUAACCAAGGCCACGAUGCAUAGCCGGCCUGAGAGGGUGAUCAGCCACACUGGGACUGAGACACGGCCCAGACUCCUACGGGAGGCAGCAGUAGGGAAUCUUCGGCAAUGGACGAAAGUCUGACCGAGCAACGCCGCGUGAGUGAAGAAGGUUUUCGGAUCGUAAAGCUCUGUUGUUAGAGAAGCGGUAUCUAACCAGAAAGCCACGGCUAACUACGUGCCAGCAGCCGCGGUAAUAC